AGUCCUGUCUCCAUUUCCUGUUUCCUCACUUGCUGGCAGAGUCUGUCCUGACGUCUUCUGUAUUCCCUUGACGGCAGGGAAUUCACUGCGUUGGUAAUUAAGACACCAGGGGAGAGAGAACGGAGACGCACCCGGCACCCUGCCACCGGCGCUCCCCACCUCACCGUGCUGUCUCACCCAUGUGGUGCCCGGGUGGGAACCCAGGGCUUCCGUGCAGGAAGCCAUACUCUCCACCAGAGACCAAGGAAGAGAGGGAGAGACACCACAACUUCGGGACUUUCCUCUGAUAUCUUGGCACUUUCCAUGUGGUGCCCGGGUCCGAGCUGGGUGACUCAUGAUGUUGUCUCCUCAGCCUGAAGAGUAUGGUUUUAAAAUCAUUCCUCUACUGGCCAUUUGGGGUGGUACAAGAUGCCAGUUAAAACAGC